GACGAACGCUGGCGGCGUGCCUAAUACAUGCAAGUCGAACGCAGUGGGGACGGGUGAGUAACACGUGGGUAACCUCCCAUCAGAGGGGAUAACACGUGGAAAAAGGUGCUAAACCGCUACUGAUGGAGCGACCCGCGGUGCAUUAGCUAGUUGGUGAGGUAACGGCUCACCAAGGCCACGCGGCCUAGCCGGCCUGAGAGGGUGAUCGGCCACACUGGGACUGAGACACGGCCCAGACUCCUACGGGAGGCAGCAGGAGGGAAUAUUCGGCAAUGGACGCAAGUCUGACCGAGCCACGCCGCGUGAAUGAAGAAGGUUUUCGGGUCGUAAAGCUCUGUUGUUAGAGAAGCGGUACCUACCCAGAAAGCCACGGCUAACUACGUGCCAGCAGCCGCGGUAAUUC
rnacentral:rRNA from 1 species